CACAAGUGACUUUUAUGAAAUAGGAGAUGUUUUCGGACGCGCUUGGACUUCUCUGCUGCGUUAGCGAGACUUGACAGGCUAAGAGGGUCUCCACUUUCCUGUUUCCCGCCGUGAAAAUGAAUCAUGUCAGACGAGGAUCGCCAAGGCAACUAACCUUUUUUCAUG